UGUUGUGGAGACGCGUAAUCUUAUGUUCAUGCCUUCAUGGUUUUGAAAGCAGAGACAUUUGUAUCACUGCAACAACAGCUCGCCACCCGUUGCCUGUGUUGCGGCUGCUACAAUGUACAGCAGCCCCAACAACAAACACAUGCGCGCACACGUUAGUAGUGCCAUGGGAAUUGUAGUAUCGGUAUUUGUAUUUCAGAUGGAGUAUACUAGUCUCAAAUUGAAAUAUACAUCCUAAUGUUCAAAUGCAUAGUAAUGAAUAAGUAUGCUACAAUUUAUUUUCGUGGCUCCAAAAAUGUGUAUGUAGAUAGAGUAGUUUUAGAGCGAAUUAAGGUUCUUAGCUGAGCAUGUUUCCACCGUAAUUAUUUAAGUGUCGGACAAAUAAAAUGACCACUUUGAAAAGAAACACGACUUUGAAUGUCACUGCAAUUGUGACAGAAAACGAUAACAAACUACAGCUAAUGAAAGGUGCAGCUUUCCUGACGACUGUCGCCUCUGCCGGGAUGAUUGCAGGAUUUGGCUCAACGUUUGCAAAGUAGCAAUGAUUGAUGUAAGCUAGCAUUACAUCUAGGCAAUUUAACUUCAGAUGCCUGUUAGCCCUGACCGAUGACGGAGUGAUAUUAUACUGGUCCACAUAAUCUGACCACUAACGUUGUCUAAAAUGUAUUGCUUUUUUGCAUAGCCUCCCUGGAUGUAUGGCAACUUUAUAUUAUGAAGAAAAACUAAUUGCUCGCGCUGCAGACGUAUCUCGGUCCGCUAAUAUAAGACCAGUAAAAUUCCAAUGCACUACUUUUGUGAUUUAAAAUAAAAACAUGUAUUUGGGUGUUUAUCAGUAUUUGUAACUUGAGUCUGUAUAAAACAUUUCAUGUGAUAAUACUUAUGGAAUAUAAAAAAAUCUUGCUUGA